AUGAGUGACCAUUCCAAUUUCGAACAGGUCCUUGAUGAGCUUGAUGAGCUUGUUGAACAUUCUGAAUUAAAUUAUGAACUCCAGAGCUUGGAUGAUUUCAUUAAUAAGAUGUCGGGAGAACAGGAGGCAGCACCAUCCACCAGCCAUCAACCUGUCAGGUGGUUGAAGAGAGACAGUGAUGGAAAUGUUGUCUAUGACAGACCAAGGUCAUCCCGAAACCAAAUGGAGACUUUCCUUGAAGAGCUAAACCACUCACAGGGUGAUGACUUGGAUGAUCAGGAAACGGCACCAGCACCACCACGGGCCUCUUCAGACUGGUCUACUCGAAAAAGUCUCCUCUCAGAGAGGUGGGAGAAAGAAAGAGCCUGUCUGGUGAAUACCAUGGUAGCACAACAAAAUGUGACAACUCAGAUCUGCCAACAAUGUGGCAUCAGUCCAGCUGCUGUCCGUUGUCGUGACUGCAGACCACAACCAUUUUUCUGUGCUGAUUGUGAUGUCAGUAUACACCGAAACCACGUAUUCCACAACAGGGAUGCAACAAUAGCUGGAUUCUUUCAGCCAUUGCCUCCAACAACCUGUGUCGUGGAGAGGGCUCUUUCCCAGUGUGUGUGUAUUGUGCCGUUGGAGAUGCCCAAAAAAAUAUGUAGUUGUUCUCCAGGAUCGUUGAGUGUCAACACAGGAAAAGUUGUUGCUGUGGUUACAAUGAAUGGACGAUAUGAUCUCAGUAUGCCUGAGAUGAAAUGCGAGGCAUGCAAAACCACAUGGAGCCCGGGAGUGGAUGACUUAGUCCGUAAUGACUACUGGCCUGCUACCCUUCACUUUUCCACAGUGUACUCUACAGAUGUGUUUUAUUCAUAUGAAGAGUUGAAGAUGGCAGCACCAGGACUGUCAUGCCAAGCAUUUUUAAGAAUGCUUGAUCAACGAACUCUCCGCUUUGGCCGUGUGAGUAUUAGUGGUGGGAAUCACUAA
rnacentral:lncRNA from 1 species